rnacentral:rRNA from 1 species
CCUACGGGAGGCAGCAGUGAGGAAUAUUGGACAAUGGGCGCAAGCCUGAUCCAGCCAUGCCGCGUGCAGGAUGAAGCAUCUAUGGUGUGUAAACUGCUUUUGUACGAGAAGAAACACUGCUUCGUGAAGCAGCUUGACGGUAUCGUAAGAAUAAGGAUCGGCUAACUCCGUGCCAGCAGCCGCGGUAAUACGGAGGAUCCAAGCGUUAUCCGGAAUCAUUGGGUUUAAAGGGUCCGUAGGCGGCCUUAUAAGUCAGUGGUGAAAUCUCACGGCUCAACUGUGAAAUGGCCAUUGAUACUGUAGGGCUUGAAUUAUUAGGAAGUAACUAGAAUAUGUAGUGUAGCGGUGAAAUGCUUAGAGAUUACAUGGAAUACCAAUUGCGAAGGCAGGUUACUACUAAUGGAUUGACGCUGAUGGACGAAAGCGUGGGUAGCGAACAGGAUUAGAUACCCUGGUAGUCCACGCCGUAAACCGAUGGAUACUAGCUGUUGGGGGUCAACCGUCAGUGCGAGACGAAGUAGAUAAGUAUCCCGACCGUCGGGUAGGUACGUUCGUCGAGAAGUAGAACGUACGAAGGAAAGUUAGUACGGACGUUGAGACGNGCCGACGGACGACGACGAGGGAGGUAGG